rnacentral:lncRNA from 1 species
CCCCAAAACCAUCACCUGAGAAGAGUGUGGGGACAAGAGAUACCCCGGGAACAUCGGAGGAGCAUAGAAAUAAAGGACUUGAAGAGUCCAAAACACCAGUAUUGGCGGUACCAGUAUUGGCGGUACCAGUAUUGGCGGUACCAGUAUUGGUGGUACCAGUAUUGGUGUUAGCAUCCAUGAUAUAUCAACAAGGAAGAACAGAUUCAGCAACCAAAAAUGUAACAAAUCAAAUAGUCACACACAAAGCCAAAUAUUCAAACACAAAGCCAAAAAACCGAUAUACACAAACCAGGUGCACAAUUUUAAAACAAAGUUACCCUCCUUCUUCGCUACCGGAAGAAGAUCGGCCUUCAAAUAGCAGUGAAAACCCUAGGUAUGAAACCCUAGGUUCAAACGUCGAUUCAGUCACCGGAAAUACAAGAAACGAUGUCGAAAAGUUACCCAAACAUCCACAAGAUGAGAAUCGGACCACCGGAAGACGGUAAACCAGCAAGUCAAAACCACCGAAAAC